ACCAUUUCGAGUCUUUGACAACAGGAUUUCACAAAGGACAAAGCUUUCUUCACGUAGCAAUUGUUCUCAAGUAGCUGAGACCUCUACGAGAACUAAUGAUUAUCAGAAAUUGAUUUUAUGUCAAUUCUUCUGCUCUCGCCACAUAUCUACAAGCUCAGCGGCACUGCAAAAUGUUUCCGAGGACUGCCCUCUGUCUCUGGCACAUCAAAAUAUUUUAUGUCAAUUCUUCUGGUAUCAGCUUCUGAGGACUGCACUGUCUGUCUCUGGGAUGUCAUUAAUCAGCUGAUCAUGCGAAGAUUUAACAAUAAAAAAGGGGCAGUAACCAAUCUUAUAGUGAAUCCACGGUCGAUGCUGCAUUUUGCAUCAAACCAUUGAAGAGUUUCAAAUCACUUCCGUGUUUCUUUGCUUGGUAAUUGUCCUGGGCCAGCCAACUCAUCCAAUGGAACUCUCACUCUCCUUCAAGCAUGUUCUCCCCCCGUGGAUAAUCAGACUUCUGUAGAUUUCAGAAGAACCAAUUCAUUGGAUCGGAAGAUAUUUGAAAUGGAGCAAGAACAGACACCUGCAGCCUUGCAAAUGAGGGUAGAAACAAGCACGGACCAUCGGAGAUGGGCGAGAAGAAUGAAAAAUCAUGUCGUGGGAAUGAACAGGCAUUAGCAAUCUCAUUUGCUCGACUUGAUGCAGAUUCUACUGAAAAUUUUACCUACUACCGGAAAGAGCAUGAAGCUCAAGAUCGAAAGUCCACCACCACAAGAGAAGAUAUCACAAUCCCCUGGUUAAUCUUCAAUGAUUUCCAAGCAUAAAUUACUAGGAAACGAUCCUCAUUGAUGCAACAAUUUUCAGUCUAAAACCCACCGCCAUUUCUCUCCCACUGAAAAUCUAAAGCCUCCAU